CGGGACGGGUGAGUAACGCGUGGAAAACCUGCCGUAUACUGGGGGAGUAACACUUAGAAAUAGGUGCUAAUACCGCAUAAGCGCACAGCUUCGCAUGAAGCGGUGUGAAAAACUCUGGUGGUAUACGAUGGCUCCGCGUCUGAUUAGCUAGUUGGUGGGGUAAUGGCCUACCAAGGCAACGAUCAGUAGCCGGCCUGAGAGGGUGAACGGCCACAUUGGGACUGAGACACGGCCCAAACUCCUACGGAAGGCAGCAG
rnacentral:rRNA from 1 species